ACAAGUGCUCCUGGGGCUGCAAACACAGACGUCCCGGCUGCUUUUAGCAUCUCAGAAGCCCAAACCGGCUGUGACCAAUAUGGAGGCGACCUAACCUCCAAGCUGAGCUUUCUUUGUCUCCAGCAGGCCAGGCGCUGAGGACUUACACAAAAUAAACAUUUAUCAGGAUCCUCAAAGACAAGAAAAGAUUGAGAAAACGUGGAAGGUGGCAAAGGCUAAGGAGAAAUAACAACUGAAUGUAAAGCGGAUCCUGGAUCAGAAAAAAAGACAUUAGUGGGAAAAUGGCAGAAUUUCCAUUAAUAUCUGCAGCUCAGUUUAUAAUGUUGUACCACCGUGAAGUUCCUGUUCUCAAAAUAUCUACAAUUAGUUAUGUGGUUCCCUUUAGAGCAAGAGGGCUUGUGAGAUGUUAUAAAGACUGUACAUGGCCUAUUGUUGUACCUCUUCUAUAAUAUGAAAGUGAGUUGACAAGUCCUUCAGGGACAAUCACAUUCACACAUUCAAUGAAAACUUGAGACAAGGAUCCUACCGCACAUCCUAGGCUCCCCUUGCCACCUCUUCAGACUGGUGCCUUUUAGGAUGGAGAGGGGCUUCCUACAACUGCUGGUCUGAAGCCAUCGCCAGGUCAGGCACACCUUAAGAAAACCAAGAACAAAUGAGGAGGAAAAAAAUCACACUCAGCUACACAGCCAAACACAGCAAAAACAGCUACAAGGUCACUAGGAAGAAUGGGGGCUGUAAGCAUCCCUAGGCCUAGAUGACAAGUCUCAUCCCUCCACCCAUACUGGGCAGCUCAUUGGCUUCCGGCUGGCUCUGGCUCCAGUAACUGAAGCCUGCGAGGGAGCAAAUUUGCCCGGAAGCACACAGGGGCAGUCCCAUCUCAGGGUCAGAGGGCAGACCCCUUCCAGAAUCAUCCCAGGCACACUCGCAAGGGAAGGGAUACCAACGCUACUGUUCUCAUCCUGCUUGGUCAGUCUAGCUUGGCCCUCCCUCGCUCCCUCUCUUCUUUCCUCCCUCCCUCCCUUCUUUCCAUCCGCUGGACCCACUAGAAGACAGAGGAUAGCCACAGCCUGUGCCUCAACCUGUCCAACACUACCGCCAGAGGGCGCCCCCGCCCCCCUACAGUUUCCGCCCUUCGUUUAAGAAUGGUGGUGGUUCCGGGUGAAGCUGGCAAUAUCUGUUGCCCGCACUUGUGCAGUUGGAGGGCGGGCCUCAACCCCGAGUUGCUGGGCUCCUGGAGCGUUGUGGGCGGUGGGGAGGGGGUGAAAGAGGAGGGUGUAACCCGGGAGGUGGGGAGGGUGAGCCUGCUUUACUCUCCUCGGUUCCCCUAGAUCAUGGGCCUCUGGAUCAUAGCCGUGGCCGCCACUACGGCCAUGCCGGCCAGAUUUGAUGGCCAGAUGCAGACACUACAGACUGCAUACACUAUGGACCGAAAUCCAAAUGGAGCGGGUAGGAAUGGGAUCUGAUGUAAGGCCAGACUUUGAGUCAGAGUUCCCUCUUGUCCAGCAAGAGAGUGGAUGCAGAAUUGAAUACGAGAGAGGCUAAUGUCCAGGAGGAGACGAGAGCCCCAAGUAAGGGUCCUUGCUCCAUAUUUAUUAGGAUCAGAAGGCUUACAAACAUGAUGGACAUGCAGAAAGAGACAAUAAAACACUAAGCAUUAAUUCAUGUGUGUGAGAGAAAGGGGAUUUCAAAGGAUCUGCAAAACGAGGACUGAGCAGAUCACCUCCACAUUUCUUCCACGCUACAAUUCUAUGAAUUGGAAAUGAGGAGACUUCAGUAGGAUCCAUACCAUAGAGUUGUGAGGGGUGAAUGAGAGAAGCCAUGUAAAGCAUGAAGCCCAGGAAUAGGAACAAAAUGGAACCUUCCCAGAACAUGGGUGAGACCCCUGCAGACAUGCUGGAUACCCUUCCGGGGUAGAGCCCUCAGCCCCACUACAGGGUGCUGGAAGGAGGAAGUAUAGGAUACCCGGCGGCGAAUCAAGUGGUUCCUGCAGGAUCAGUGCCUCCACAAUGACCAAGGUUUAGACCAAGACUUCAGGGUGCUAAAGGUGGUGAAGUAUCAAAAGGAAAACACAGAAAUGGACUUCCACUCCAACCAUGAUGGAGUCACAAGGACCAGAUUUACCUUUGCUGCUUCAACAAAUGAAAAACUGGAAAAAAUAAGUAAAACAACAUUUGAAAACAGGCAAAGCAGGGGAAAAUCCCUGAGAGAAGGAGAAAAGGAGGGAAGUCCUGUGACUGUCCUAGUGUACUUCCUGUAGAGACUUUUGCAAGCCAUAGCAGAGGAAAGGGUAAACUAAACAGUCUUCCUGAACUGAAAAGAUAAGAGUUGAGAAUUCAGGAAGGCCGAAGUGGCUAGAAUUCCAAGAAAUUAUACAGCCGAUAGAAUUCAUGGAAAAGGUUGUCAAAUAGGCUACUCUAAAUAAAACGUCACGUAUUCAAGAAGACAGAAGGUGCUGUCAAAUGUGCAAGGAAGCCUCCUGAAAGGGAGGAGGGGCAUGGGAGGGUGCCAGUGAAGCUCUCAGAAUGAUGAGUGCCACUGGAUAGCCCAGCCGCCUGUGAGUGCUAUCAGAACUCACAAGAGAUUGUGUAUCCCACAUGUAUCCUGCUGGCUAUGGUUCAUCAUCCGAGUAAGAAUUGAAAAGUGUUUCAGAACCAGGAAGAAAAGCCCCACUUUCAUGCAGUGUCUCUCCACUCCCAUCUAGUAAAAAGCUUAACACUAGCCCAGCUGUCAGUAGGGAAUGUUUACAUGGCUCAGCUCCAAUACUGCAGAGCAAGUCAAGGAAGGAUAGAUUUGCUAGGAAAUAAAUUGAUAAAGCACAAGAGUAUCCAAAACAUUAUAUCUUUUGAUUUCCACCUCUGACAAAGAAGAUUCAACCUGAAGGUUCACCAAAGAGAAACAGAGAUCUCUAUCAGCAUCAAUAAAAGGACAAUGAAAAUACAGCUCGUGAAUAGAAGCCCAACUCUCUUCAGAUUUUACCAGUAAGAUGUCACAUUUCCAUUCCUCUGUUUUUCCACAUUUAAUUUCUAGACUUAGAAAUAUCAUAAUUUGGAAAUUACAGUAAAGUAUAUAUGCUGGUCUUAACUCCCUGGAUGUGCUUUCAUUAUAUUCACAGAAUUGCUUAUUUACAAGUAGUAGUCACCCCCUUGUCCAUGGGACAUACAUUCCAAGACCCUCAGGGGAUGCCUCAAAGUGCAUACAUACCAAACUCUAUAUGUGCUAUGUUUUUCCUAUACAUAUAUACCUAUGGUAAAGUUUAACUUACAAAUUAGGCAUAGUUAGAGAUUAACAAUAAUAACUAAUAAUAAAAUAGAACAAUUAUAAUAACAUACAGUAUAAAAUCGUGAAUAUGGUUUCUCUCAAUAUAUUACUGUACUAUGAUAGCCGCCUUCUUGUGAUGUGACAUGAUAAAUGCCUAUGUGAUGAGAUGAAGUGAAGUGAAUGACAUAAGUACUAUGACAAAGCACUAGGCUACUAUUGAUUGACUUUUUCAUGGUAUGUCAGGAGGAUCAUCUGCUUCCAGGCAGAUGUGGUUGACCACAGAUAACUGAAACAGUGAAAAGUGAAACUUUAGAUGGGAGGAGGAAGCUACUUACGUGAAUGCAUACACAUACAAGCACAUGCAUGCAUGCACAAACACACUUAACCUUAUUAGUUUUCAAAGAAAUACAAAUCGAAGCAACAGUUAAGAUAGCAUGUUUUACCCAUCUAAUUGACAAAAUGUAAUUAGCAUCCAAUACUGCAGAGGGUGCAGAAAAAGAAGGUGAAAUUCAAGACUGGUGGGGAAAGGAAGAAUAUAUGGGAUAAUAUUUAUUUCUUUAUAAUGUUUUCAACAGUAGAAUGAGUGUUACUUUUGUAAUUUUGGAAGAAUUUUGUUAAAGUAAAUUUUUAAGUUAUACAAACAGAACUCUCAAAGCUCAAAAAAUUAAAAAAAAAAACCAAUCCCAUUAGAAAACAUGCAUAAGAGACAAGGGUACAUUUAACUGAGGAUAUACACAUGCCAAAUAAGCACACAUGAAAGGAUGUUCAACAUCAUUAGCCAUGAGAGAUAUGCAGAUUAAAACCUCAGUGAGCUAUCACUACUAUCAUUUCACUUUAGAAUGGCUAAAAUGAAAAAGAGUAACAAUACCAAAUGCUGGCAAGAAUGCAGAGAAACUGAAUCACUAAUAUAUUGCUACUGGUAAAGUAAAAUAGUACAGCCAUUGCUAUUACCAUAAGUUUGGUGAUUUCUUAAAAACUAAACAUGGUGGGGCACUUGGGUGGCUCAGUCAGUUAAGCAUCCAACUCUUGGUUUUUGGCUCAGGUCAUGAUCUCAUGGUUUGUGGGUUCGAGCCCCAUGUUGGGGUCUGCAUUGACAGCAUGGAGCCUGCUUCAGAUUCUCUCUUUUCCUCUCUGUCCCUCCCCCGCUCUCUCUCACACAUGUGCACUCUUUCUCUCUCUCUUAAAAUGAAUCAACUUUAUAUAUUUAAAAAAAAACCACGACUAAACAUGUAACUACCAUAUGACCCAGCAAUUAAGGCUCUUUGGGUGUUUCCUCAACAGAAAUGUAAACCAGUUUACAUAAAAACUUGUAAACAAAUAUUUGUAACAGCUGUAUUUGUAACAGCCAAGGCCCAAAAACAACCCAGAUUCCCUCAAAGAGUAAACUAACUGAAGCUGAUCCAUAUCAUGGAAAGCUAUUCAGAUAUAAAAAAGAAAGAAGGAAAAUAAUAGAAAAGAAAAAGAACUAUUGCUAUACACAACAACCUGGAUGAGUAUCCUGAGAAUCAUGCUGAAUGGAAAAAAAAAAAAAUCCAAUCCUAAAAGAUUAUUCUGUAUAAUCCCACCUAUAUAACAUUCCUAAAAUGACAAUAUUUUAGAAAUAGAGAACAGAUUAGUGGUUGCAGGUAUGGAAGAGGUAAUGGUAACAGAGAAGAGUGGGUGUGGUUCUAAAAAUGCAACAUUAGUGAUCCUUGCAUGAUGCAAAUGUUCAGUAUCUUCACUAUUAUCAGUGUCAAUACCUGGGUAUUGUGGUAUUCUAUUAGGGGGUUUGCAAGAUGUUAGAAUUGGGGAAAGUUGGAAAAAUGGUACAUGUGAUCUCUGUAUGAAUUCUAUCAAAUGUAUAAUUGCUUGGAAUUCUAGCCACUUCGGCCUUCCUGAAUUGUCAGCUCUUUUCAGUUCAUGGGAGACUAUUUAGUUUACCCUUUCCUGUGCUGUGGCUUGCAAAAGUCUCUACUGGAAGUACUCUAGGGCAACCCCAAGACUUCCCUUUUCUCCUUCUCUCAGGGAUUAUUCUCCUGCUUCGCCUGUUUUUAAAUGUUGCUUUAUUUAUUUUUUCUAGUUUUUCAUUUGUUAAAGGCAACAAAGGUAAAUCUGGUCCUUAAUACUCCAUCAUGGUUAGAGUGGAAGUCCACUUGUUUUUUCCUUUUAAUACUGCCAAUUAGAUGGUAUUAUGUUAAUUAAUGGUUCUGUAAAGUUAGUUUUUAUUCACAUACAUGCUUACCAUUGUUGUGUUCACCACUCUUUGUUGCACACUAGAUUGUCCUCCUGGGAUCAUUUUCAUUCUUCCUGAAGUGUAUCCUUUUGAGGUUCAUUUAACGAUAUCUCUUGGUAGUAAACUCUUGUUUUAAUUUGUAAAUAUUUUAUCAUUCUUGAAAGACUCACUUCCUAGAUGCCCAGUUAUGGGCUUUAACCCUCAACUCUUUAAAGAUAUGAUUCUGUGGGAAUGCAAGCUGGUGCAGCCACUCUGGAAAAGAGUAUGGAGGUUCUUCAAACAACUAAAAAUAGAACUACCCUACGACCCAGCAACUGCACUACUAGGUAUUUAUCCAAGGGAUACAGGUGUGCUGUUUUGGAGGGACACAUGCACCCUAGUGUUUAUAGCAGCACUAUCAACAAUAGCCAAAGUAUGGAAAGAGCCCAGAUGUCCAACAAUGGAUGAAUGGAUAAAGAAGAUGUGGUAUAUAUAUACAACGGAGUAUUACUUGGCAAUCAAAAAGAAUGAAAUCGGGGCGCCUGGGUGACUCAGUUGGUUGAGCACCCGACUUCAGCUCAGGUCAUGAGCUCAUGGUUUGUGGGUUCGAGCCCCGCAUCAGGCUUUGUGGUGCUUCCUCAGAGCCUGGAGCCUGCUUCAGAUUCUGUGUCUCCUUCUCUCUCUGUCCCUCCCCUGCUCAUGCUUUGUCUCACUCUGUUUCUCAAAAAUAAAUAAAUGUAAAAAAAAAAAAAAUGAAAUCUUGCUAUUUGCAACUACGUGGAUGGAACUGGAGGGUAUUAUGCUAAGUGAAAUUAGUCAGAGAAAGACAAAAAUCAUAUGACUUCACUCAUAGGAGGACUUUAAGAGACAAAACAGAUGAACAUAAGGGAAGGGAAACAAAAAUAAUAUAAAAACAGGGAGGGGGACAAAACAGAAGAGACUCAUAAAUAUGGAGAAAAAAGUGAGGGUUACUGGAGGGGGUAUAGGAGGGGGGAUGGGCUAAAUGGGUAAGGGGCACUAAGGAAUCUAUUUCUGAAAUCAUUGUUGCACUGUAUGCUAAUUUGGAUGUAAAUUUAAAAAAUUAAAUUAAAUUUAAAAACAUGAUAAAGAUAUGAUUCUGUCUCUGGCUUCCGUUGUUGCUGUUGGGAGGUCUGCUGUUUUCUAACUGCAAUAAUUUUGUAGGUACUCUGUUUUUAAUGCUUUUAGCUUAGGUGCUUUUAAUUUUGUCUUUUGUAUUCUCAAGUUGUUCUUGUUGCUGUUUUUAAUAAUAUAUUUAAGAAUGCAUCUUUUUUGUCUCAUUCAUCUCACCUAGGAUGUACUGUGCUUCCUAGAUUUGUGGACUCAUAGUUUUCUUCAAUUCUGGAAACUUUGCAUUCAUGAUCUCUUUAGAUACUGCCUUUUUUCAUUUGUUGUUUCCUUUUGACACUCCAAUGAGAGCUAUAUGAGACCUUUUCAUUCUGUCCUCCACCCCCAUUUUUAUUGAGGUGUAAGUGAAUAUUAAAAUGACGGCUUGGCAUAUGCAUACACUAUGAAAUGUCACCACAUUCAAGCUAAUCUACGUAUCCAUUCUACAUACUAGCCCUUUUUUGGAUAUGUGGUUUACAAAUAUUUUCUCCUAGACUAUGUCUUGUCUUUUCAACCUUUAAAUGUGGACUUUCACAAGCCAAAUACUUUACUUUUAAUGAAGCCCAAGUUUUCAGUUUUCCUUUUAUGGAUUAUGUUUUUGGUAUCAGGCCUAAGUACUCUACCUCAACCUCGAACCUAAAGAUUUUGUCCUAUGUUUCUUCCUACAAGUUUUAUACUUUUAAUGUUUAAGUCUGUGAUCCUUUUUGAAUUGAUCUUCGUAUAAGGUUCAUUUUUAAAUUUUUGCUCUUUAAUACUUUCUUCCUCCUGCUUGCUUUGUUUAUAUUGCUUUUUUUCCCCUUCGGUUCUUGAAGUGGAAGCUUAACUAGAUUAUUGAUUUGGGACUCUUCUUUCUUUCUAAUGUAUUCACUUAAUGCUAAAAAGUUCCCCAUAGCACUGCUUUAGCUGUGUCCCACAAAUUUUGAUAUGUUGUAUUUUCAUUCAACUUAAUGUAAUUUUCUAAUUUCCCUUAAGGUUUCCUCUUUGACCCACAGUUUAUUUAGAAGAGUGUUGUUUAGUUUCUAAGUGUUUGGAGAUUUUCCUGCCUUCUGUUACUGAUUUCUAGUUUGAUUCCAUUGUGGUCAGAGAAUGUCCAAAA